AUAACUGUCAAUGCUGGAAAAAAAACUUGAAAUGUAGUGUGGUAUACAUUUGUUUUUGUUUAAUGUAAUUGUUUAUAUGUUUUAUAUAUUUUCCCACAGUUCUGUGUUGCAGAAUAUUUGGAGAAGACUGAUUUGAGAUGCCUCGGACGAAGCAGUCUCAGCGCUCCCAGGCAGCCAAGAAGAGGAUGGCGGACCGGAUGGCUGCUGAUCCUGUAGAGGCUCUGCCACCUCUUAAAAAACUGGCAGAAAUAUCUGAACGUUGUGUGCAUCACAACGUGAUUGAAAUACCUGAUCUUGACAAUUCUUGCAAAGAACCUGAUCUAAACAAUUUUCACAAAGAACCUGAUCUAAACAAUUUUCGCAAAGAACCUGAUCUAAACAAUUUUCGCAAACAACCUGAUCUAAACACUUUUUGCAAAGAACUUGAUCUUGACAAUGUUACUGAAAAUGAUUUUGAAAAACCUUUGACAACCCUUGAACAACCUUUGACAACCCCUGAACAACCUUUGACAACCCUUGACAAACCUUUGACAAAUCCAAAGAACAAAGAAACUUUCUCUGAAACUCUACCUGAAUCUUCCUCUCUGCCUCUGUCUACUGCUAAACAUACUGAGAUGACUAUGAAUGCUGUUUCUAAUUUAUCUCCACAGACAUCCUACAUCAGAGGCUCUUUCCAUCAAGGACACUACCGUUUUGGCCGGAAUAUGGGAAGGCAAUGUGGUGCAAAUAGUUUAACUGCAAUUUUGAUGUGUAAGAUGAAAAGUGUGUUGCAGUGGACGAGAAGUGACCUGAAUGCUGUCCUGAUCCAUGGAGAUGAGCUGUACAGUGCCAUGAGAGACACAGGGAAAAUCAACGAUCCUGAAUCCGGCUUCAUACGUGUUCAUGAGCUGCCACACACACACAUGCUGAACAAUUGUCAGUUUGCAAUAAACUAUGGUGAAUCAUU